rnacentral:lncRNA from 1 species
GUCCUUUGUGGUUUGUCCCUCCUCUAUUGAAUGUUGUUUCACUAUAAUGAGUUCUCUCUUAGUGGUUGCUCUCGCCAGUAGUUGAUUGUCUAUUUGGUUUAGUUGGUGAUACGAAGGUAGAGGCCUUCACUCAAAGUUGCUAGUUUUGGAUUGGUUGUAAUUGUUACCACUUUUGGCUUGAGUUUAGAAGUUAGCUUCUUCUUCGACUAUUUUUCUAUGGUCCAUGUUUGACUUGCAGAAGUUUUUGCAUGACUUCAUAAAGUUCUUAUAUUGUUGCUUGUUGGUUCUCGAGCAAAGUGUGAUGUGCAUUUGUCCCAUAUGAAACCUUUUGAUUGUUGCUAUGAUGGCCACGUCAUCUUGUACAUCGGGUACUUGCGCUUUGAUUUGAAUGAACCUUCAAAAGUAUUGAGUUAAACAUCCUUUGAGUUGUUAUUGCGGUUGAAGUGAUCUAGAAUUGUCAGUCCUAUUGUCACACACGAAUUUAAGGAAAAAUCCAGAUGUAUCUCAUAUGUGUGUCAAAAUUAGAUUUCACACAUAUAAUGACUCAGUUUAUAGAAUCCAAUGGCACAAAUUUAUUACAUAAUGAAUUGUCUUUACAAAGAUAACUAAGAUUAAAACUUGCACUGAUCUAAACAAAUUAAAUUAAACAAUAUUUAAUACAUGAUGAAAGGGAGAUAGUUAUACGUUUGUUCCUUGCCGACGAUCGGGUAGAGAAGACAACUUGACGCCUAACACCAUCUCAUUGUUACCGACGACAUGAAACGUCCACGUGACAAGGCGACAGAUGAGCCAUGGCAAUGAGAUUGAAGACGGCAAUGAAGUGAUCGAGCAUCCAUGUAGAGUGCUUCCCAAAAACUUUAUUUACCCUCUCCUGAUACAAGAUCUCUGGGGGCAAUAGUUUUGGAGACCUGCUCUCUUGUUUGUCGGUGCACGCGAAUGAUUAGGAAGAAGUAUCAUACGCACGACGCUGUAGGCAGGAAGCAGGGACGAAACUAGAUGCUUUGGUUGUGUUCUACUCUCGAUGGCAGCAACAAUACCUAUUUAAAGGAGGAAAUCGUGUUCGAG